rnacentral:rRNA from 1 species
UACGGGGGGGGCAAGCGUUGUUCGGAAUUACUGGGCGUAAAGGGCGCGUAGGCGGCUGCCUCAGUCGGACGUGAAAUCCCCCGGCUCAACCGGGGAACUGCGUCCGAUACUGGGCGGCUCGAAUCCGGGAGAGGGAUGCGGAAUUCCAGGUGUAGCGGUGAAAUGCGUAGAUAUCUGGAGGAACACCCGUGGCGAAGGCGGCAUCCUGGACCGCGAUUGACGCUGAGGCGCGAAAGCCAGGGGAGCAAACGGG